AGUAGUGUGCCUGAAUUCAAAGGGAUAUCAUGAUAGGAUAUAUUAUGUAAUUAAGUUUAAUAAUUACCAUUACUA
rnacentral:tRNA from 1 species